rnacentral:lncRNA from 1 species
UGCAGUGGACUGGCUCAUCUGUGCCCACACCCCCAGAGACAGCUCUACUAUGUUGCUCAGGCGAGAUGCAGCAGGCUAGGAGCUAGGCCAAGCUCUCCUGCUCUCACUCCCUUGAGGCCAGCUUACCAGAAACCCAUACCCAAGCUGAGACAGCUCUACCCUGCUCCCCAGGUGAGGUCCAGAGCCCAAUCUCCCAACUGUUACAACUGGUGAGGGACAGAUCCAGUUCUCCCACUUUCAUGGCCCUGGGGCCAGCAGUCCCACCUGCUAUAGUGUGUAUGUGUUAUUACAGGAUGGCUCUCCCUAGUCCAUGCGACAGCACAGCAGACACAAGACAAGGCUGGCUUUCCAGCACUCAUGAGCUUGGGGCCAGCUCACCCGCAAUUCCAACAUCUAGGAACAGCUUUACUGUGCUGCCCAGGUGAGAUGCAAGGCCCACUUUCCUGAAUGCUGCCACUCCUUCCCAUAAUUUCCUCCAAUCAGGGACAGCUCUACUGUGCUUCCCGGGUGAUGGAGGUGAGGGGCAGCUGCCUGAAUACUGCAGCUUGCUAGGGAUGGGGCCAGCUCUUCUGCUUUCACGCCCCCCCCCCCAAGUAGUUUUUUCAGCUACUUGGGAGACCAAAAAUUCAAGUGUAGCUGGAUUCUGCCUCAAAGUUAAUGUUCUUAAAAUCUAUGGAUAUGGCUGAGUUUUAGAGUUCUUGCUUCAAAUACUUGAGACCCAGGGUUGGAUCCCCGUGUCUAAAAAAAAAAAAAAAAUC